GGAGGAAUGAACAUGGGAGGAAUGGGUGGCUUCGAGAACAUGCAGCAGGGCGGUUCCCGUGGUAACGGCUUCUCGUC
rnacentral:ribozyme from 1 species